CCAAUAUCCUGUCGUGUCCUUUUUUGGUGCAUCUGUCGCCAAAACAUCUCACUGUUCCAUAAAACCACCGAAAAAAAAACCUCUCUCCAAUCUCAGGCAAAUUUCUGCAUCUAACGUAGUUCACCUCCGCAUGAGUUCAUCAGCCGCUGGUCCAGUGGGCCAUGUGGAGGUGCUAGUGCAUCUACUGAGGCAGUUAUGUGAGAUGGUCAGCCAUGGUGGAGGUGUUAAUACCAUCUUCUGAGGCGGUUAUGUGAGAUGGUCAGCCAUGGUGGAGGUGUUAAUACCAUCUUCUGAGGCAGUUAUGUCAGAUGGUCAGCCAUGGUGGAGGUGUUAAUACCAUCUUCUGAGGCAGCUAUGUCAGAUGGUC
ensembl:lncRNA